UACGUAGGCAGCGAGCGUUGUUCGGAAUUACUGGGCGUAAAGAGCUCGUAGGUGGUUUGUCGCGUUGUCCGUGAAAACUCACAACUCAAUUGUGGGCGUGCGGGCGAUACGGGCAGACUGGAGUACUGCAGGGGAGACUGGAAUUCCUGGUGUAGCGGUGGAAUGCGUAGAUAUCUGGAGGAACACCGGUGGCGAAGGCGGCAUCCUGGACCGGCAUUGACGCUGAGGCGCGAAAGCCAGGGGAGCAAACGGG
rnacentral:rRNA from 1 species